CCACCAAAUUCCCCACCACCGCCACACUCACAGCCCCCGCCUCCACCACCAGUUUAUUCUUCACCACCGCCUCCUGUCAAUUCUCCACCUCCCCCAUAUCACUCUCCUCCACCUCCCCCAUAUCACUCUCCUCCACCUCCAUCACCCCCACCUUGUAUAGAACCGCCUCCACCUCCACCACCAUGUGUAGAGUAUUCACCCCCCCCACCCCCUCAAUCGCCCCCCCCACCUUCUCCACCAUCACCAGUGUAUUCUCCUCCACCGCCUCCUACUCCACCUCCCCCACAAUCAUCACCGCCACCACCACCAUCCCUGUCUCCCCCGCCGCCUCCUACACCACCCCCACCAUCUCCGUUACCUCCAUGUGUACGUUCCCCACCACCGCCUCCACCAAAUUCACCACCACCUCCAUCACCAAUAUUCUCCCCACCACCACCUAUUCCUUACUAUUAUAACUCCCCACCACCCCCAUCACCUCCACAUUCGCCUCCACCUCCACAUUCGCCUCCACCACCAGUUUAUCCUUACUUAUCACCUCCACCACCACCUCCUGUCAAUUCUCCACCUCCCCCAGUUUAUUCAUCACCGCCUCCACCCCCACCUUGUAUAGAACCGCCUCCACCUCCACCUCCACCAUGUAUAGAGUAUUCACCACCUCCACCCCCACCUUCAUCGUCACCGCCUCCUCCUAUACAUUAUAAGCCACCACCAUCACCAUCCCCACCACCACCACCAGCAGUUUACUACCAUUCUCCCCCACCAUUGUCGCCUCCACCCCCACCCGUAAUCUAUGGAAGUCCGCCACCUCCGACUCCAGUGUAUGAGGGACCAUUACCACCAAUCACAGGGGUUUCAUAUGCUUCACCUCCACCACCACCCUUUUAUUGAUUCUUUUGAGAAUUUCCGAUCUCUAACCUUCCAUCAAACAAGGAGAGAAAUACUAUGGAUUUCGUCGUCAGGGUUUCUUUUUUCCUCUUGUGGGCGAUUCUCGUCGCUCUUCUAGAGAAAAUUG
rnacentral:lncRNA from 1 species